AGUGAACGCUGGCGGUAGGCCUAACACAUGCCAGUCGAACGGCAGCACAGUAAGAGCUUGCUCUUACGGGUGGCGAGUGGCGGACGGGUGAGGAAUACAUCGGAAUCUACUUUUUCGUGGGGGAUAACGUAGGGAAACUUACGCUAAUACCGCAUACGACCUACGGGUGAAAGCAGGGGAUCUUCGGACCUUGCGCGAUUGAAUGAGCCGAUGUCGGAUUAGCUAGUUGGCGGGGUAAAGGCCCACCAAGGCGACGAUCCGUAGCUGGUCUGAGAGGAUGAUCAGCCACACUGGAACUGAGACACGGUCCAGACUCCUACGGGAGGCAGCAGUGGGGAAUAUUGGACAAUGGGCGCAAGCCUGAUCCAGCCAGACCGCGUGGGUGAAGAAGGCCUUCGGGUUGUAAAGCCCUUUUGUUGGGAAAGAAAAGCAGCAGGUUAAUACCCCGCUGUUCUGACGGUACCCAAAGAAUAAGCACCGGCGAACUGCGU
rnacentral:rRNA from 1 species